CAUGCCAUCAACACUGUUAUAAAGCAGGAAUCAAUCUGACAAGUUAAGUAGAGAAAGACUGGAAGUAAAGACACUUGUAAUUUCAUUGGAGAAAGCAUCUCUUCAGGCAUCCUUUGCGUCAUUCCUAAAGUGUCCUCUUUUGAUCCAUGAAGAGGUUUUUAUCCUUUUCCUUGGUCAUAAAUAAGAAGGGAGAGAUAAGUUGUUGAUUUAUCUUGUCUACUUGGAAGAAAAUAAAGAGUUUUAUUGACAUGGCAUAGUUUUUGCUUUAAACUUUGCAUUACCUUUUCUGAUUUUGGUCAAAUUCUGUCAAAUGCAGAAACAUCUUUAGCCUUAAGAAAAAAAGAAUGCUUAAAAUUGCCAUCUUUAUGAGACAAUUGCAUUGGAAAUUUUUAAUGCAAUUUGGCAUUCACGUCACAGAGCUCUUGAGCUUUUGCUAAGGUGGAGAAACCUGAUUAUGCAUCUGAAAUCCAUGAUUUCUAGAUGUGUGCCUAAACACAAUGACUGCAAUUUGUAUUAUCAUAUAGUAAGUUUGAUAAUCUAUGUAAACCUAUUCACCGAAGAUUUAUCUUCUCUACAGCUUAUGGAUUCUGACCAUGUCUAUCUAUGGUGAAAAAAGUGUUGUGUAUAAUGACUCGAAAAAACCCCGAAAAAACAACUUAUUCUGGCCUCAUUAUUCUUGUUUUUACAUGUAUUUUUUUUAAUUGCCAAGAUCACUUUCAGAAGUUUCUCCGCAGGUUAAUGUCUGGUGGUUUUGUUGCAAUAGUAAUAGUUGAGAGCCUUUCUAUGUUUUCAUCUGUUUUUGUCCCUCUACUUUUCUGUGUUGAUUUUGACUUAUUUAUUGUUCGACUGGGAGUCACUAGAAUAGGGAACAAAAAACGUAUUGGUAUCUUGGAGCUUUUGGUGAUAGUAUCUGUUCCAGUUCUAGAACUGCUGCUUGUUUACGACAAACAUCUCAACGAUGUAAGUUAAAUCAUUUCUAAAAGCUAUAACGUCUUUGAAAAUUUACAUUUAUAAUCUAUCUGACAAACUGGAGAGAUAUUUUCACUUUGAUCGUGUAUGAUUGAUACCGGUUUUGUUUUAUGAGUUCAACCCUGCUCUUUUUUUAUCUAGGACAACUACAGCGGGCAGCAUGAUCUUCAUCGAUUAUUCCAACUUCCUGCAAUUGUUUUGAUGAGCUAUAACAUUUCUUAAAGUUGAUUUGUAAUCUUUCCGACAAACUGAGAAUAAUCCCUUCUUUUGAAGCAGCAGUCAUGAGAAUAACCAAGUGUUUGCUCAAACUAUCUGCUUUCGGCUAUCGAUAAACCUCUUUUAAAAUGAUAUAUUUUAAACAAAAGUUCACAUUUAGAAGAUCUCUAAUCACGAACAAAGCGUGCUAAAAUCAUGACACUACAAAAAAAUCAAUCAUUUUAGGAUGAAUUUAGCAAUGAAUUUCCAAAAAAAAUCGUUGCAAAAUUAUUUUGCAACGAAAUUUGCGAUGAAAAAAUAUUCGUUGCAAAUCAGUUGUCCUUAAAUUUAGCGAUGAAAAACUGAAAAUUCGUUGUAAAAUUUGCAACGAAUUUUCUAUUCGUUGCAAAAUUUUCCGUUGAUUUUGCGACAAAAAAAAAAAAUUGUCGCAAACUUCUCUUCAACCGAAAAUCUAUUUUUUGCAACGAAAUUCUAAAUUUGUUGCAAUCUGCAAUGAAAUCAAAAUUUGUCGCAAUCUGCAACGAAAACUAAAUUAGUCACAAUUGGCAACGAAUUUUAAUAUUCGUUACAAAUUACAACGAAUUCAGAAUUUCGUUGCAAAUCUAAGAAAAAUUCUAAAUUCAUUGCGUAUCUGCAAUGAAUCCAGAUUCGUUGCAGAUUGCGACAAAUAUUAAUUUUUGUUGCAAAAUUUCGAUAUGUUUUUUUGUGUUGUUUUUUAUCUGAAGUUUCAUUUGAUUGUUUUUACUGAAGUAUUUAAGCAUUUUUCUCCUUUCUCUAUAAAUUGUAAAAAAUUGAUCUUUUCAACUUUUUUGAUUACUGAACUAGAACAUUUGAAAUAGAAACAUACAUGAAACUUAUGUUGCAUUUCACAUUCUUAGAAGUGUUUCCCAACUGGAAUUUCCCCUGGGCUACCGAUUUGUUCCCCCUUGGUGUACAUGCACAUUAUGUCUACAUAGUGCGCCUUCUGUGAUAUAGGAUAAACAAUUUGAAAUGCAGAUGAAUGCAUGAAUAGGAAUUAUACUGUGUAAAUAUCUGCAAACAUCUUUAUAUUAAUAUUUGCAGCUAAGGCUGUUUUAUAUCAUAUCAAAAUAGAUAAAAUUUUUGUCUGUCGUUUUAAAAAGAACCAAGGCUGAACAUUCUCAGGUCAUUUGUAAAUCUCAUGGCUUUAGUUUGGUUUUAUUUUUAUUUGAAAACUUACAAAUGAAAGUUCUAGUUUGGGUUGAAAUUUGCUAAUGUUUUGAUAAAUCAAUUCUGCAUACUCCUACAUGCUUAUGAGUUUCCAGCGUGACGGUGAUGAGGAAAAGAAAGAGAUGGGUGUGAGAAACUUUACAGCAUGAUUAUCUCAUUUAACAUGCUUAUUGGCUUGCGAGAAAGAUGACAGAGAUUGUUCCCCUUUGCUUUCAAAAAAAAAAAAUGAAGGAAUUUCAUUCUAAAAUAGUGAUUUUAUUAUUUCAUAUAUAUAAAUUUAUAUAUUUGUUCAUUUUUUGUUUUGAUCUACAUUUGCUGGAACAAUGAAGAUGCCCAGGCUUGUUUGUCAAAGCUACAACAGAAGAAGUUGAAAGUUAUGGAUUCUGUCCCAUCUUCAAAAGCCAAACCUGUUGCCAAGACUGUCAACAAAGAGUGCAGCAGUAGUGAGGAAGAUGAUGAUGAUAGCUCUGAAGAAAGUUCAGAUGAUGAACGUUCAAAACAGCAACAAGCUAAGAAGG